CCUACGGGAGGCAGCAGUCGAGAAUCAUUCACAAUGGGGGAAACCCUGAUGGAGCGACGCCGCGUGGGGGAAUGAAGGUCUGCGGAUUGUAAACCCCUGUCAUGGGGGAGCAAAUUAAAAAGAUAGUACCACAAGAGGAAGAGACGGCUAACUCUGUGCCAGCAGCCGCGGUAAUACAGAGGUCUCAAGCGUUGAUCGGAAUCACUGGGCGUAAAGCGUGCUGAGGCUGUUUCGUAAGUCGUGUGUGAAAGGCGUGGGCUCAACCCGCGGACCGCACAUGAUACUGCGAGACUAGAGUAAGGGAGGGGGAACCGGAAUUCUCGGUGUAGCAGUGAAAUGCGUAGAUAUCGAGAGGAACACUCGUGGCGAAGGCGGGUUCCUGGACAUUAACUGACGCUGAGGCACGAAGGCCAGGGGAGCGAAAGGGAUUAGAUACCCGUGUAGUC
rnacentral:rRNA from 1 species